GGUUAAGCGACUAAGCGUACACGGUGGAUGCCCUGGCAGUCAGAGGCGAUGAAGGACGUGCUAAUCUGCGAUAAGCGUCGGUAAGGUGAUAUGAACCGUUAUAACCGGCGAUUUCCGAAUGG
rnacentral:rRNA from 1 species